UACCACUUUUUUAAACCAGGCGGUUAUCCUGCCUAUUAAAAUGCACCACGCGCAAUAAUUCAAUCAACAGACGCACAAAUAUCGCAAAAUUCGAUUUUAAAAAUCGCGACCGUGCGCAACGGUGGCAAUGACCGGAACGAGCAGACUAGCCGGUUACGUCAUUUUGACGUAAGAAAGGGGCAGCCGCUGGUUGGGUUAGAGAAACGUCGUCUGCUAUUUUUUCUCUGAACCACGCCGUAAGAAGCAGCGUCUGCAGAAGUGUUUCUUUUCGCUUUUUCUUUGAUUUAUCAGGUACAGUAAACGAACAAGGGUGCUGUUGUUCUGUUGUGUAGCGACAAUUAGUACAAAACUGCGCAACACUUCAGCGUACGCUUCAAGAGGAACGCCGCAUCGCCAUAAUCACUAGCUCGCCCGCCUCGAUUAGCAACGUUGUUAUAGUUACUCAGUCAUUCAUCUGGUGGUAUAUUCGUAGAGGCACGUUGUCUGGCACGAUCCACAGCAAUCCUGCAACUUACGAAUUGUUAUCUGUUCACGGCAAUCAGUCGCGAUGCCGCAGGCGUGCGGUGUUCGCGGGUGCGUAAACAGUGUAUGUAAUCGCUCGAAAUAUCGUCGGCACACGGUACCGCGGAAAGAACCUGCACGAAGUACAUGGCUACGACUGAUACAACGUGAUGACGUCCCAUCGAACGCUGCAAUCGUCGUCUGUUUUCUACACUUUCGACCGGACGACUACGAACUCAACGUGUCACUUGUUGAAGGCUCCGGAGUUGGAAAAUUCAAACAUAGACUGAGACCCGAAGUGACGCCGUCGUUGAACCUACCUAAUGCUGCCGCCGCGCAAGAGAACGUGGUACGUAUGUCGCCUGUGACGUGCCUGCAACGGUACAUACUAGAAAUAUAUGUGUCGUGCACCUGCUUAGCACAUUUUAUAAAUUUCAAUCACUUUCCUCAAAUACAGGCAGAACAACGUGUACCAGAAGGUGACAGCCUAAACGGUGACAGUGCAUGUGCCAGCUUAGUCAGUCACGCUUCUUCCUUUGGAAAUGAAGAGAGCGGUUAUUCAUCUCACACCCAACCUGCUUCCCCUGUGCUUACAUCUCAGUCUCCCAGUCCCGACAUGACACCUACAACCGUCCUACAGUGCAUGAACUGUGGGUGCAGGCAGCCCAACAGCGUACCUUUGACUGAAGAAAAAGGGACCCAGUACAGUUUGCCAAGAGAGUCGAAGUGGACCCAAACAACAGUUGUCCAAACUAGGAGAGUCGGCACACAAGCAAAUCAUAAUGCCAAAUCUCUGCAAACAUCGUCAACUCAAACAAGUGAAGACUUCUGUGAACUUGGGCCACAGCACUCAGGCAUUCAAUAAGAACCAAAACGGUGCUCUACACCAGUUAUGAAUGAUGUGACAGAGACCACUAUCGGUGACACUGACAAUCCAGCAGACACCACCUAUGUACCACAACACGACAGCCUUCUUGGUGAUAGCCCUCAAGCCAGCAGUGUCAGUCCCCAGGAGGAGAGAAAAUAUAUAAUAUUCGAAAGCAAGCUGAAAGAACUGUUUCGUUCCUGCACCACAUGCUUGAACCCAUGUACUACAAGCUUCAGCUGUGUUGGUUCCCUCCUCCGAGUUGAGUCCUGCUGCGUAGAUGGUCAUACGUUUGUUUGGGAGAGCCAGCCAUACAUAUCAAAUAAGCCUGCUGGAAACGUCCUGCUGUCUGCAGCAAUUCUGUUUAGCGGAGCAGGUCCCACUCCAA